ensembl:lncRNA LINC00402 long intergenic non-protein coding RNA 402
GAUAAAACAAAACUAUUAUCUAGAGAGGUAAGGCAGACUUGUGAACUGGACCCGUAGAAGUUAAGUGAUGUCCCUGUUUGCAGUGUCAAUGAGAUUGAGGGCUUGGGCUUGAACCCAACCUUCUCCCUCCAAAUAGCCUGCUCUUUCUGUUAUGUCAUGUUUCAUAUACAAGUUUGGGAGCCUCCAGCCCUGACUAUCCCAACAUAUACAACAUAAUGUAUAUGUUGUCUUUGGAAAUAUCUUCUGUGAAGGCCAAGCAUUUAAUAUUACAGGAAACCUUGAAGUGGAUAUGGAAGCUUGGCAGCCAGCUUGGAUCUUCCUAAGAGCCUCUUUCCUUCAUACCAUCUUCAGAUUGUUAUUCCGUGACAUCUUAUCUACUUAAGCAGCUAACCCAUGAGGCAUCCAAAACAGAGAGAAAAAACAGAGUGAACAUUUUGCCUUAUGGAAUUGUCAAAAGUUGCGGUCGAAACACAGGCAAGAUUUGGAAGAAUCUGUAAUGAGCCAGGGCCAGUUUUCCUAGUUAUAGAGCCUAGGCUGGAGGAGGUACAUGGGCUGGGGAAGGAGAGGGAAUUAGAGAUUGGCUGUUCCUGGAAACUCUCUGCCUGUACUCCAUGGCCUGAGUCCCAGGACCUGGAAGCGGCUGAAAAUCUGAGAUAUAGAAGAGACUGGUGCUGCCUUUCUGGGGAGGGCUUGGGAAAACAGCAAGUUCCCUGAAUUUUUCCAUGGCACAGGAGCAGAUGAAAUGUCAUGAUUGGUGUCCAGGCUAGUGGACUGAGUUAACUCCCGAGAGUCCCUGUACUCUCCAGCAUGGCACGAGGAGAAGCAAACCAUUUUCCUAUGCAGCCAUAGGAAAACGGUACAAACACGACACUGAAAUUCAGCUGACCGCAAGAGCUUGAUGGUCAGUGUGAGCCAGAUGGAGCAGGAACAUGUAUGGAUGGAAAACCCAGAUCCAAAGUUCAUCCCCCUCUCCCGUGGAUGCUCCAGCACAUUGCAAGGUUUCCCAGAAACUUAGAGGCAACCUUGGCACAAGGACAUGAUUUGUUGGAAAUUAAGUUUUGUCACCUGGGGGACUGCGAGCUUGAUACGGAAAUUAAUUCAGUUAUAUAAUUAUAAAAAUGAUGCACUUUCUACACAUCUGAUUUUGUGAACCCAAAUUAGUUUCCACAACGCAACUGUGUUAACAUUUGCCAACCUCUGGGGCAACAUUGGUUGUCUUUGUUGCUUUUUUCUAGAAGUUUUCAGCUCAAACUCAUCUUUCCCUUUUUUAUUUUCAUUUCUAAAUUCUGGUGAGUGGUGUUUUGAUAAGUAGAUAUCAGCUAUUUCCUGUCUUACUUGAAAAGUCUUCUCUGUAUUAAAUAACAAAGGUCACUUAGAUAAAUAUCUUCUCAUUACCAGAGGGUAGGGAACUGCUUCUCCUAUACAUAACUUCUAUUAUCUUUCAAUCCAGAAAAAAAAACGUGGCAGGAGGACAAGUUUUUGAAUGUUAUGAAUCGUGAUUUCUGUGUCUAAAAUCUGCUCUUUUGUUAACACUAAGGGCAACUUCCUUCAAAGUGGUUCAUCUUGGUCUAUUACUGUGUUUGUGUGUGUGUGUGUGUGUGUGUGUGUGUGUGUGUGUGUGUGUAGUAAAACCAAAGUUUCCUAUUAUUUUUGAAGGUAUUUGGCCCUGCUGGAAGACAGCUAUGUAUAAGUUGAACUUGGCAGAGAGAAAGGGAAACCAGAUCUUACUCCCAGGCCUCCUGUCACCAGCUGUGUGACUUUGCUGAAGUCAUUUCUUUCCCCUAAGUCUCAGUUCCAAUACCUAUAAAGUGAGUGUUCUGCCUGUGUGUGUUUUAGGUCUUUAUUAAUGUUGAAAUGUCCUGACUUUAUGGGUUCUCAUUCACUGUGAUGUGGUAACCAAAACAAGCAGAGAUUAAUAACCAGGACUCAAUAAUGUAAAACACUAAAAAUUAUAUUUUUGCAAAUUUUUGUAAACGCGGGAUCAUAUCUCUCUCAGUGACAGUAUUGGUGUGAUCCAUUAUUGUACAUUUAGUGGAUAAACAGAAUGUAACUAAGAAGUGUUAUCUUUGUUAUCAGGGGAACGUGGAGUUGGAUGUGUAUGAUGGGGAUGGGCAGUUAAUUCAUAGGUUAAACACUCAACGAGGGAAUAUCUCUUUAUCGCUAUCUCCAAAGACUCCCCACUCUUCCUCAAUUUUCUUAGUAACUCACUGCUCAGACUUAGUUUCCCCAGAAGCAGACUAUGAGACCAGGAUUUGAUGCAAGCAGUUUUUUUGGAGUUGAUCUCAGAAAGGCUAAGAGAGUAGAGAAGUAAUACAGAGAAGUGAAGAAAGCUAAUAGAAGGUCCCGGUGCUCUCUCCUGAAAGAGAGCGCUGGAAGACUGAGUAGAACAUGCCCCAGAGUUGUCCCCCUCUGCUGGGGCAAGAGAACUAGGGUACUGAUCAGCUAAUUUCCGUGCUUCACUGGUUAAGGGCAUUAACCUCCCCAAACUUCUGGCCUGUGCCCCAGAUAGACCAGGCAUGCUUCUGUGGCCAGAGAAAGCCCGAGGAUGGAGAGUCACAGAUGCUUGUGGUAGGUAGCAGGUGGUGUGUAUGGAAAUGGGAAUGGGAUGCCAAGGGGAUUUGGGCAGGGCACCAAGCAUCUGCCGCAUUACCCUAAUCCAGGCAAUAACACUCACAGUAUCCCAGGGAUUCCCCUUCUAGCCUCGAAUUCCUCUUAUUCUCAUUUAUUUUGUAUUUACUUUCUAGACCAUAGUUUCUCAGAUAGUAAAGGUUCUACUGACUUUCCUCAUCUCUCUGCAACCUCUUUCCUGCCUAGCUUCUCUUCCAUGGUCAAGCCAAUACACACAGAAUUUUGCCUUCCAUUCUUCACUCAGGUGUUUCUUCCACUUGGAAUCUGUUCCUCAGUCAUUUUCACUAAUCCAUGUCCCUCCCAGUACACAGAAUUUUUCACAGAAAACAUAGUUAAUCCUUUAAAAAUAUAUUUAGAUUGACUUGCAUGCCCCUCUUAAGGUUUUUUCUUUCCAAAUGCCUUUUUUAAAACCCCAAUUUAAGAAUUUCUUUAGCCAAUACUACAACAAUGCAGUCCUUGUUCUCCACUUCUUUCCUUUUAUCUACUCAAUGUUAUUAAUCUUUUUAGUGUAAACAUCAGUAACUCAAUCGAGCCUUUUCUGAUCCCCAUGAUUAGGAUGAGUUUUUGUGUUGCCUACUCCAAAAGGUCUGUCCUUUUUAAUGCUCACCACACUUGAGGUUUCUGUUCACACUUCAAAGGCUGUGGGGCCCGAUACCAUGAUUUUGCUGCACUCCUAGACCUGGCCUACUGGUACAUAGUAGGCAUUGAUAAAAAUUUGCUGGAGCAUUGCAUAAAUAAACUAUGCCAUUUGGGGCUGAUUAACAUUUU